ensembl:lncRNA
AUGGAACAGUAGUAUGAAGGUGGAUAAAGAUGGUAGAAUGGAACAGUAGUAUGAAGGUGGAUAAAGAUGGUAGAAUGGAACAGUAGUAUGAAGGUGGAUAAAGAUGGUAGAAUGGAACAGUAGUGUGAAGGUGGAUAAAGAUGGUAGAAUGGAACAGUAGUGUGAAGGUGGAUAAAGAUGGUAGAAUGGAACAGUAGUGUGAAGAAGGUGGAUAAAGAUGGUAGAAUGGAACAGUAGUGUGAAGGUGGAUAAAGAUGGUAGAAUGGAACAGUAGUGUGAAGAAGGUGGAUAAAGAUGGUAGAAUGGAACAGUAGUGUGAAGAAGGUGGAUAAAGAUGGUAGAAUGGAACAGUAGUGUGAAGAAGGUGGAUAAAGAUGGUAGAAUGGAACAGUAGUAUGAAGGUGGAUAAAGAUGGUAGAAUGGAACAGUAGUGUGAAGAAGGUGGAUAAAGAUGGUAGAAUGGAACAGUAGUGUGAAGGUGGAUAAAGAUGGUAGAAUGGAACAGUAGUGUGAAGGUGGAUAAAGAUGGUAGAAUGGAACAGUAGUGUGAAGGUGGAUAAAGAUGGUAGAAUGGAACAGUAGUGUGAAGAAGGUGGAUAAAGAUGGUAGAAUGGAACAGUAGUGUGAAGAAGGUGGAUAAAGAUGGUAGAAUGGAACAGUAGUGUGAAGAAGGUGGAUAAAGAUGGUAGAAUGGAACAGUAGUGUGAAGAAGGUGGAUAAAGAUGGUAGAAUGGAACAGUAGUGUGAAGAAGGUGGAUAAAGAUGGUAGAAUGGAACAGUAGUGUGAAG